GCCACGAUAAAGCCAACCACCAAUGUAGAAGCCCUAGAGAAUGCUUAGUUGGUCUAGGAACUCCUUGCUAGCCUCUACUGGCAUAUCCAGAAUGUGAGAGCCCAGCUUUAACAAAAGAGAAAGCAGAUUGAAUAGGGUCAUGCUAACAAACGGCCCAGGAUAACUCCUACUAUGGUUAUUGCACCACCUCCACCUCCAAAGAAUCCCUCCCAACUUGCUCAAGUUUGCCCCUGCUGCAGUAAAAACCAUGGCAACUGCUCCUGUUACAAGCUAGAAAAUGCUUGUUACAAGUGCAGA
rnacentral:lncRNA from 1 species